UACGUAGGGGGCAAGCGUUGUCCGGAUUUAUUGGGCGUAAAGAGCGUGUAGGCGGUUAUGCAGGUCCGCUGUGAAAACUGGAGGCUUAACCUCCAGACGUCGACGGAAACCGCGUGGCUAGAGUCCGGAAGAGGAGAGUGGAAUUCCUGGUGUAGCGGUGAAAUGCGCAGAUAUCAGGAAGAACACCAAUGGCGAAGGCAGCUCUCUGGGACGGUACUGACGCUGAGACGCGAAAGCGUGGGGAGCGAACAGG
rnacentral:rRNA from 1 species